rnacentral:rRNA from 1 species
GACGAACGCUGGCGGCGUGCUUAACACAUGCAAGUCGAACGAAAAGAGGGAAAGAGCUUGCUCUUUCCGGAAUUGAGUGGCAAACGGGUGAGUAACACGUAAACAACCUGCCUUCAGGAUGGGGACAACAGACGGAAACGACUGCUAAUACCGAAUAAGUUCCAAGAGCCGCAUGGCCCAUGGAAGAAAAGGUGGCCUCUACCUGUAAGCUAUCGCCUGAAGAGGGGUUUGCGUCUGAUUAGCUGGUUGGAGGGGUAACGGCCCACCAAGGCGGCGAUCAGGGGCCGGUCUGAGAGGAUGAACGGCCACACUGGAACUGAGACACGGUCCAGACUCCUACGGGAGGCAGCAGUGGGGAAUCUUCCGCAAUGGGCGAAAGCCUGACGGAGCAACGCCGCGUGAGUGAUGACGGCCUUCGGGUUGUAAAACUCUGUGAUCCGGGACGAAAAGGCAGAGUGCGAAGAACAAACUGCAUUGACGGUACCGGAAAAGCAAGCCACGGCUAACUACGUG